rnacentral:rRNA from 1 species
AUUGAACGCUGGCGGCAGGCCUAACACAUGCAAGUCGAACGGUAACAGAAAGAAGCUUGCUUCUUUGCUGACGAGUGGCGGACGGGUGAGUAAUGCUUGGGAAUUUGCCUUGAGGUGGGGGACAACAGUUGGAAACGACUGCUAAUACCGCAUAAUACCUACGGGUCAAAGGGGGCUCCGGCUCUCGCCUUUAGAGAAGCCCAAGUGGGAUUAGAUAGUUGGUGGGGUAAUGGCCUACCAAGUCAACGAUCCCUAGCUGGUCUGAGAGGAUGAUCAGCCACACUGGAACUGAGACACGGUCCAGACUCCUACGGGAGGCAGCAGUGGGGAAUAUUGCACAAUGGGCGAAAGCCUGAUGCAGCCAUGCCGCGUGUGUGAAGAAGGCCUUCGGGUUGUAAAGCACUUUCAGUAGGGAGGAAGAUUUAGUAGUUAAUACCUGCUAGG